GUAGAGUUAACUAACCUAUAGUUAGUUGAGGUAAUAUGUACACGUAGGUAGAGUUAACUAACCUAUAGUUAGUUGAGGUAAUAUGUACACGUAGGUAGAGUUAACUAACCUAUAGUUAGUUGAGGUAAUAUGUACACGUAGGUAGAGUUAACUAACCUAUAGUUGCAUCAUACAGCCUACAUAUGUUUUGAUUUCUAAGACAUUCUAAAAUUUAUAUCAUUCACAACUAAAGGUGCCAAAUAACUCUAAAUGUAGCAUUUAGGACCUGUUUCGAUCACUUUUACGCUCAACAUAGUCACUUUAUAUGCCCCUCUCUUUCCAGAAUGGGA
ensembl:lncRNA